rnacentral:tRNA from 1 species
GGUACCUUGGCAGAGUGGCUAUUGUGCCUGGUUGAAGGGUGAUGUAGUGUCCAGGUUCCUUCGGGAGCGCGAGUUCGAAUCUUGCAGGUACCG